AAUAAUAUAGAAUAUAACUCCCUAACAAGUCCUAGGUGUGAAUUCAGGUUUUCUACAUUUAUCGUGCGGGAAUACGUAAACGUGUAUAUGUAUAAUCAGUUAUGUAAAUCGUGAGUACUUUUUAGCUGGUCCGUUUUGUUGAAAUUGAUUAUCUGAAGAAUGAAUUUUCUAUAUCUUAGCAGCUGUGAUUUUUAUUUAAUUACUGAGUAGUGAACUUCGUUUCCUAAAAAGAUUCAAUUAUAUUCAAAACCCUGAUUGGACAUUCUUAUGGGUUCUAGGUAAUGUUUCCUCGAGGAAAUUUUAUCGCAUGAUAUCUUCGUCGCUUUUUAUGUUUUUCCGUUUUACUGUUCCAACUUUACUGUUGUAUCUCGAUCAGAUUAAUUAUAAAAUUAUAAACCUAGGAGAAGAAGGAAAAAGGAAUAAUGAUAAACAAGUAAUCUGUAAUCUUGUGCUGUUUUUAUAUAUUUAUUAUUAUAUAUAAAAAAAAGAGUAAGGAAUCACAGAUAUGGGAUGUUGAGACUAUUUGGAAAGGACUAAUUAGCUUGUGGCACGUUAAGGAAUCAUAGCCGUGGCCUUAGUUGAGGCUUGAAGAAAUGGAAACAACUCCAUCGAUAGAAAGUAAGGAAUAUUUAUUGAUGGAUCAUAGGUUUUGUUCGAAGAUGGUGGCUAGCCUCUUAUUUCUCUACCGUAUCUACUUUUGCUAUCAACGAGAUUAAAUAACUCACGAAGUUGCAUCUGUUUUCUUGGAUUCAUCUCACUUGGCCUUAGUCUGGAGCACUAUAUACUUGGAGAGUGCACGUCUUUUCAGAAAAUACGUAGGUUCAAUAUGAUGAUCGUAAAGAAGUUUAAACCUCAGACUAUGCUUUUUAGUGACCAAGGACUGACUCACGAAGAAAUGGAAGAGCUCAUAUCGAUUUGUAGCUUGAUCUUUCUAAGUCUCACAUGAAUGAGUAUAAUAUAGACUUUAAUCAAUUCAUGAAUUACUUCUCGACCUAAGAGUGAUAUUGAUGGAUGAUAAUCUAAAGGAAUGUUCCAGAAACAUUUUAGUAAUACAAUCAAAUGUCCUUGUUUAUUUCCUUCUCCCCCUCCUCCCUUCUCACAGCUGAUUGUAACUGAUCUCCUCCUAAACAGUUUUAGGACAAUUGGGCGAAAAUAUUUUUACCGAAAGACCAUUUGCCAAACGGAUAUUUCGCCAAAGGUCCAUUUGGGACAUUAGGCCGAAAAAUUAUGAUAAAUUUAUUGAUAUAUCCUUUUCCAUGUUUUAAUUCAAUUUAAAAUGAUAUUAUCAUAAAUAGUUACUCUUCAUAUUUUAUAUAUGUCCUAUAGGUAAAUUAUUAAGUGUUCCUUUGCUGAAAAAUAUUUUAUAAUCAUUAAUGAACAUUAUAUAAGGACAACACAGUAGUGGUUCACUGUAAAAUGAAUGUGGUAAAAAUAUUGCAGACAAAAUCGUUACGUGGUAAAAUUGUCGUUGAGAAACAAAAUUCUUGUGGCUAAUAUCAUAGUGAAGCAACAUCACUAUAAGCAAUAUAAUUUUGUGUAACUUCAUGCAAGAUAUUAUUGUGUGCAAUUUUGUUGUAAUUUAUAUUACAUUCGGACGAUAAAAUUAUUGAAUGAUGUAAGAAACUUGGCAUGCAUACCAAUUUAAUAUUCCUAGCCCAUAAGUUGUACAGGUGAAGUGUUAGACCCCAGAGCAGUUGAAACUCUUCCAAUGCCGCGUUUAUUAGUAUUUAUUACCCUUGUAAAGACUAGUGGACUGUAUAAUUCGGAAAUCUACCUCGGUAACCCUGUGUAUGAAUAGCAACCCUUGACUAUGAAUAUGAUAAAUAUUAUUACCUCAAUAUAUAAAUAAAAACAGCAAUAUUUGUGAUGAGAAUAGGACUAUUUUAUUUAGAAGAAAAAAGCAAUUUAGACCUCUUCCUGACAAUAACAUUGACUUAAAAAAGGGAUAAUUAUUCACAAUGAAGAACUACUUUUGUGGCAUGCAUUAAUAGUGCGCCAAGUUAGAACUCUUUCAUUCUUUUGGCGCUAAUAGAAAAAAGGAGAAGUUUGGGCAAGUUCAAUCUUGCAAUAAUUAUGCUACAAGUUCAAACUUGUAAUUAUUAAUUGUGCUAACUUGGUUUGUGUUGUGUCUUGACGAGGGAGAGACACAAACUUAUUUAUAGUUGGAGAGAUCCAGGA
rnacentral:lncRNA from 1 species